rnacentral:rRNA from 1 species
AGAGUUUGAUCAUGGCUCAGAUUGAACGCUGGCGGCAGGCUUAACACAUGCAAGUCGGGCGGAAACGAAGAUAGCUUGCUAUCAGGCGUCGAGCGGCGGACGGGUGAGUAACGCGUAGGAAUCUACCUAAUGGUGGGGGAUAGCCCGGGGAAACUCGGAUUAAUACCGCAUACACUCUACGGAGGAAAGCAGGGGCUCUUAGGACCUUGCGCCAAUAGAUGAGCCUGCGUGAGAUUAGCUAGUUGGUGAGGUAAUGGCUCACCAAGGCGACGAUCUCUAGCUGGUCUGAGAGGAUGAUCAGCCACACUGGGACUGAGACACGGCCCAGACUCCUACGGGAGGCAGCAGUGGGGAAUAUUGGACAAUGGGGGCAACCCUGAUCCAGCCAUGCCGCGUGUGUGAAGAAGGCCUUCGGGUUGUAAAGCACUUUCAGCGAGGAGGAAGGCUGUAUGGCUAAUACCCAUACAGAUUGACGUUACUCGCAGAAGAAGGACCGGCUAACUCCGUGCCAGCAGCCGCGGUAAUACGGAGGGUCCGAGCGUUAAUCGGAAUUACUGGGCGUAAAGCGCGCGUAGGCGGCUUGUUAAGUCGGAUGUGAAAGCCCCGGGCUCAACCUGGGAACUGCAUUCGAUACUGACAAGCUAGAGUACAGCAGAGGGGUGUGGAAUUUCAGGUGUAGCGGUGAAAUGCGUAGAGAUCUGAAGGAACAUCAGUGGCGAAGGCGACACUCUGGGCUGAUACUGACGCUGAGGUGCGAAAGCGUGGGUAGCAAACAGGAUUAGAUACCCUGGUAGUCCACGCCGUAAACGAUGUCUAUUAGCCGCUGGGUCCAAUUAGUGACUUAGUGGCGCAGCUAACGCGAUAAAUAGACCGCCUGGGGAGUACGGUCGCAAGAUUAAAACUCAAAUGAAUUGACGGGGGCCCGCACAAGCGGUGGAGCAU